GGCCGUGUAGCGUAAUGGUUAACGCGCUAGUUUCCGGCGUUGAUCAGAUAGCCAAGCUAGAGAUUCCGAGUUCGAGUCUCGGCAUGGUCG
rnacentral:tRNA from 1 species